rnacentral:rRNA from 1 species
UAGUACGAGAGGAUUUGGAAGGACGUAGCUCUGGUGUACCAGUUGUCGCGCUAGCGGCACGGCUGGAUAGCUAACUACGGAAAGGAUAAACGCUGAAAGCAUCUAAGCGUGAAGCCCUCUCUAAAACUAGGUAUCCCCAUCAGGGUCGUGAGAGACUAUCACGUUGAUAGGCAGUAGCUGUAAGCACGGUAACGUGUUCAGGCGAGCUGUACUAAUAACCCGAACGGCUUGAUUCC